CUUGUUACAUACAAAAAAAAUAUUUCUCAUUUUCAUCACAAAAAAUCUGUUCAUCCGAUCUAGAGAAAUAGCUAGCCGACAGGCAGUCAAGUUACAAAACCAAUUUUUCUUAUCGAAUUUGUAGCUUUCAGAUAUGGAUGUAGCACAACUCACAACAAAUCAUACAUCAACGAUGAAGUUUGGCUAUUUCUCUUGCACCCCUAUCCCAUCCAUGUUGUCAACCUUGUAUGAAGUGGUAAUUCCCACCAGUACAGGUUUUGAUAACAAGGAGCAGCACAAAAGUUGAUAACACACGAAAAGAAUACGGAAUACAAGAUCACUUUCUCAAGAAAAAAGAAGAAGAAUUAACAAGAUCUACAGAGCAUGAUAGAAGGGAGAAGGCACCAUCAAAUAUAUAAUUCUAGUUUGAUUCCACAUAUGAAGAGAAGAGUCGGGUACAAUGAAAGAUAAGUGAUACUUACUGAAUGGUUAAUUAAACGUGCAAUGUUUCCCUUAUCAGUGGCAUCAACCACUACUUCUUCACUAAUCUUAAAUAGCUGCACAAGAUAAUUCGGCGACAUUAAUUGGUGCUUGUGACAACAUACAGGUUGGAAAGAGAGCACAAAGAAAGGAGUGAAAAGAACCUACAUAGCAAUCUUUUCCCUCAACACGAUAUCGUGCCUCCCUCAAAUCUGCAACACUGCGUCUGACCUGCUCACCACGAUACUCCAGAACCUGAAACAAGUAAAUAUAUGCUCCACUAAGUGAUUUCUAGAUUUGAUGCUUAAGUAAUUAGAAAUACGAGCACUUCGGUUAUUAACUGAUUCUCGACACAACAAGAUGAUCUGUAGCGUACUCAGGCAAGGAGGAACUACAUCUCAUCGGAAAUGUUCACAGGUUAUGACACAAAAAUCACAGACUAUCAAGAAUAGCUCCUCAUGAUGAAAAGAUAUAGAACUCCAUUUUCAUGCCAUUACAUGGACUGCCAUUUACAUCUUUUCCUAAUAUGAUCAAAGUAUUGACUAGGGGUAACUAGUAACAACUACAAAAGAUUUAUAUACCAUCUCUCCUUCUGGGAUA